rnacentral:rRNA from 1 species
GCGCCUGAUUAGCUAGUUGGUGGGGUAACGGCCUACCAAGGCGACGAUCAGUAUCCGGCCUGAGAGGGCGGACGGACACACUGGGACUGAGACACGGCCCAGACUCCUACGGGAGGCAGCAGUGGGAAUUGUUCGCAAUGGGCGCAAGCCUGACGACGCAACGCCGCGUGGA